GGUGAGGUGUCCGAGUGGCUUAAGGAGCACGCCUGGAAAGUGUGUAUACGUUUACGCGUAUCGAGGGUUCGAAUCCCUCUCUCACCGCCA
rnacentral:tRNA from 1 species